GAUGAAGAACGUAGCGAAAUGCGAUAACUAAUGUGAAUUGCAGAAUUCAGUGAAUCAUCGAGUCUUUGAACGCACAUUGCGCCCCCUGGUAUUCCGGGGGGCAUGCCUGUCCGAGCGUCAUUGCUGCCCUCAAGCCCGGCUUGUGUGUUGGGCCCCGUCCCCCUCUCCGGGGGACGGGCCCGAAAGGCAGCGGCGGCACCGAGUCCGGUCCUCGAGCGUAUGGGGCUUUGUCACCCGCUCUGUAGGCCCGGCCGGCGCCAGCCGACAACCCAUCAUCCUUUUCAGGUUGACCUCGGAUCAGGUAGGGAUACCCGCUGAACUUAAGCAUAUCAAUAAACGGAGGA
rnacentral:misc_RNA from 1 species